UACGUAUGGUCCGAGCGUUGUCCGGAAUUAUUGGGCGUAAAGGGCGUGUAGGCGGCCAGGUAGGUCUGCUGUGAAAACUCGAGGCUUAACCUCGAGAUGUCGGCGGAAACCAUCUGGCUAGAGUCCGGAAGAGGAGAAUGGAAUUCCCGGUGUAGCGGUGAAAUGCGCAGAUAUCGGGAAGAACACCCGUGGCGAAGGCGGUUCUCUGGGACGGUACUGACGCUGAGGAGCGAAAGCCAGGGGAGCAAACGGG
rnacentral:rRNA from 1 species